AUCUCCGGAUCGCUUUCUCUCCUGCGGCCAAGGUGGCUUUAAUGCGGAGCCACGUGGGCGCGUGAGUAGUCGGUCACUAAUGCUGCCGCGUCACCCUUCGACGCGAGUGAUGAGUUUUGAGAGCGAGUGCCGGAGGCCAAAAGGCAAAAGGCAAAAGGCAAAAGGCAAAAGAGGCCGCCGGGGAUCGAGUGAGUGCCCUCCGACCUCUCCUCGUUUCUUAACCAUUAAGCUUUCUCCGUUUGGCGAAAGGAAAGCUUUAGGCAGGGUGAGGGAGGGGGGUCUCGCAAAAAGGCGAAGCGUACGUGGUUUCAUCUGUUGGUUUACGGGGUUCAGGGAUUCUGAUCAGAUUCUUUUGCCCGCGGACAAGAGAGGAAGAUGCAUACUAGUUUCUGUCGGCUGCGACCCCUCUUCCUUCUCCUCUCGUUCUCUUCCUACGGGAUUAUACCAGCAGCGCCGUUUACUGGAACUUAUGGGAUAAACUAUGGCAGGAUUGCUGACAAUAUUCCUCCACCUCAGACAGUAGUGUCACUGCUAAAAGCAACAAAAAUUAAAAAUGCGAGAAUAUAUGAUGCAGAUCAUAGUGUCCUCGAGGCAUUUAGAGGGUCUGGGCUUGAGCUGAUGGUAGGAAUUGGGAAUGAAUAUCUGAAAGAAAUGAGUCUUAAUGAAGAACGAGCAGUUCAUUGGAUCAGGGAAAAUGUGCAGCCAUAUCUUCCUUACACGCACAUUACUGGGAUUGCUGUUGGGAAUGAAGUGCUUGGAGGGUCAGAUCAGGAGCUGCAAGAAGCUCUAUUUGGUGCUCUGAAAAAUGUCUAUAAUGCUCUCAACAGACUUCAGCUGACAGAUUACAUAGAGAUACUGACACCGCACUCGCAGGCUGUGUUUGCCAAUUCAUAUCCUCCAUCCUCAUGUACUUUUAAUGAGAACAUUCUUGAAUACAUGAAGCCCAUCUUGGAUCUCUUUUUAAAGACUGGAUCUCCUUUCUUCCUAAAUACCUAUCCAUUUUUGUCUUACAAAAGUGAUCCUGAACAUAUUGAUAUUAAUUAUGCCCUAUUCCUUCCAAAUCCUGGGGUUUAUGAUGCAAACACAAGUUUGUACUAUGAUAACAUGUUUGACGCUCAGAUAGAUGCAGCCUAUGCUGCGCUAGAAGCUGCUGGGUAUGGAAAGAUGGAGGUCCGGGUUUCUGAGACUGGUUGGGCUUCUAAUGGCGAUGAGGAUGAAACAGGAGCUUCAGAACAGAAUGCAAAGACUUACAAUUUUAAUCUUCGUAAGAGACUAGCCAAGAAGAAAGGGACUCCACGGAAACCGAAACUUGUCUUGAAGGCAUAUGUUUUUGCCCUGUUUAAUGAGGACUUGAAGCCUGGGCCAGGUUCUGAGAGGCAUUAUGGUCUUCUUAAGGCAGAUGGGAGCAUAUCUUACAAUAUUGGAUUUACUGGUCUGACACCUUCACAUUCAUCCUCAUCUAUCUUAUAUUUUAAGCAGAUAACUAUAGUGAGAUUUGAAUUCUGCUUGGGAACAAACCAAUGCUUUAAUACAACACAUGCAUCCUAGCCCUUCCUUUCUCCCCAGCCAACGGCCCAGAAAGGAUGCUGAAAUAGGAGGUCACCACAGCCCCUUUAGGAUAUUCUCAUUGGGAGUAUGGUAAUAGCUUAUACUAUGACUUCUACAGCCUGCAUUACAGCUCUGGUUUUGGUGUUAAUGUUGUAGCAAAAUCAAGAUUUUGUGCUCUUCUGGUUACUGGCACCUGAGUAGAUCUGGCCUUUGCAUGCAUGGUACUAUUCUUCUGCCCAAUGUAUUCAUUUGUUACUAAGCUCAUUAAUGACAUUAGAUUUCAGUUUGGUUUUAAAUGCUUUUAAAUCUUGAAUUGUUUUUGCCCGAUUAUCUAUUGCCCAUAAUGACACAUAGCAGGGUGAUUUUCAAAACCACCCUGUUUUGGCAAUUUCUUAGAUAGAACCUUUGGUUUUGUCAGCACUCUAGUCAACCCCUAUAUGGUGCGCACCAUGUAGUCAUUUUCGAUGUUUGGGCAUUUGUUUUAUCAAUCGAGCCAGUAAAUAUGAUUUAGCA